rnacentral:rRNA from 1 species
GCCCGCAUGGUCAGAUCACUAGCGCAGCCCGCAUGGCCCACCACCGCUCAUCCUCUCUCAAUUCUUAUCCCGUACAUGAGCCUCUCCUUGUGCGCCCCCUCGCAACCACUCGUUUCCCUUAAUCUUAUCCAGUCUAGCCCAUCGUCACCUACCUCUUGCUGGCAUCCCCUUCCGCCAUGGAUGAGCUCAAUCUUCCCAUCUCUAAUCAAACGUGAGCCAUCCGUUCCCCUGCCUCGUCAAGUGCGAGAUCCCAUCCACAUCACCCAUCUCCCAUCCUUCCUUGUGUUUUGUUCCUCAUCUGCUGCAUCAUGGAGCGAUGUGAGGCGGACCGGGCACCGACGCACGGGGCCGAGCAGCGAGGCUUUACAGGGGAGCCGGAGCUGCAACGGGGAAGGCUCGGUGCUGCAAUCAUCAAACGGAGAUGCCGGAACCAGCCAUUGCGCAAGAUACAAUGAUGGCGUGAAAAGCUACAAUGGUUGUCGGAUUUUGCUGGAAUCGGCCAUGCGCAUAGCUAUGCCGCCGCCGAAAGCUGCAUACGUUGUCGGAGAUGCUGGAACCAGUGUUAUGCGGAGCUGCAACAGAUUGUGGGGAACCUACUAUCCAAAGAAACAGGCCUAGAGACUCAACUGAUGACAUUCUUUUAGUGGACUUCAAACCAUAGGAAUCAACAAGCACACUAUGCAAUUUUUCAAACACUGGUCUGUGCAUUCUAAACAUGUUGUAACAAGCAGUUUCGUUGCCUAGUGUUGUCAUAACCCAAUCAUGCCC